CCUACGGGGGGCAGCAGUGAGGAAUAUUGGUCAAUGGACGCGAGCCUGAACCAGCCAAGUAGCGUGAAGGAUGACUGCCCUACGGGUUGUAAACUUCUUUUAUAUGGGAAUAAAAUGAUCCACGUGUGGGUUUUUGUAUGUAUUUUAUGAAUAAGGAUCGGCUAACUCCGUGCCAGCAGCCGCGGUAAUACGUAGGGUCCGAGCGUUAUCCGGAUUUAUUGGGUUUAAAGGGAGCGUAGGUGGAUUGUUAAGUCAGUUGUGAAA
rnacentral:rRNA from 1 species